rnacentral:rRNA from 1 species
GUCUACUGCCAUACCACAUUAAACAUGCCCAAUCUUGUCUGAUCGCAGAAGCUACGCAGGGUUGGGCCUGGUUAGUACUUGGAUGGAAUAAAUAUACUUGGAAGCAUUUUACA